GCAUGGGUUUGGAUUUAUGGCAGGCUCGUCCCCCUGGGCCUCUCAUAGUGUCCCAUGCCAGAGUAAAUCCGGCCCGAACCAUUGCCUGGCCUCUGGCAGUAGGCUGCAGGCACUGAAGUGGGUUGCACAGUG
ensembl:snoRNA